UUCAGUGGCUGUGCAGCACACUGCUGGAAAAGUACCCAAGCUUGCUUUAAACUAGCAGUACCUUGCUCAGAGUGGGCAAACUUAUUCUGCUUUUUUUUCUUUUUUUAGUUCUCAUCGACCUCUAAACUGCUGUAAUCUAGCUCUAUAAAGCUUGUUUCUGCUGUAUACACUACAGACAUGCUCCCAGCUCAAUACUGUGCUCAGACUUUACUUGCUGUAAACUGGGAAUAAUUUCACCCAGGAUGAGUUUGCCCGUGUUGCAUUGGAAAAGCAGUCUUUCACUUGCCAGCCUGCACUCAGCCAUGGUGAAGCUAUUCUGGUUACACAAUUACUGUAGCUCAUCCCAGAAACUGCUGCACAUCAGAAUUGGAUCUCUUACUGGCCCAGUAAAUUCUUAGCAGAUCUGACCUGUUCUCUGUAAGGAAACCACCCCUGUGGCUUGUGGAGCUGCUUCUUCCACUUCCCAUGUGAAGGACAGCGUUACAAUCACUCUGUCGUCUCCUCUUCAAAGAUGAAGAUGAAAGAGCCCGUUCCCAGCAGCUGGAAGAGGUGCUCUGGUUAAAACCUCAGCCUGUGAACUCGGGAGGGAUGGGAAUCCCCUGCAGCCUUCCCCCAAAAAACACCAAGGACUCCCCAAAUGUCCUUGCAAGUCCUCAGUGCCCCAGGCUGAGCAACAGACUCUGCAAUGCUACACUGAAUUAAUAGAAUUCAUACUUUGUAAUUCAAGACUAUUUUUCAUUGUUUUUGUCUUUGGGAUUACAGAACCACUAAGGGAUUAGAUUAGUGAUAACAAAGUUAGCAGAAAAAACAUACCAGUAACCUUUCAUUUAGAACAGCUGUGAUCAUGCUUUUUGGAUCCUGAACAUGUCCUGUGCGAGGAUUUAAGACCUCUUACCAUUGCUCAUUACCUGGGAAAGAAGAUGUGCUGUGUCAUAAUCAUCACAAUCCUCUUGCUUGGCUAAAAUCACCUAUUAAAACCAUUCCUGAGGCUGGAAUUAGAACCUGCA